CCUACGCGUGGCUGCAGUGAGGAAUAUUGGUCAAUGGACGAGAGUCUGAACCAGCCAAGUAGCGUGAAGGAUGACUGCCCUAUGGGUUGUAAACUUCUUUUAUAUGGGAAUAAAAUGUUCCACGUGUGGGAUUUUGUAUGUACCAUAUGAAUAAGGAUCGGCUAACUCCGUGCCAGCAGCCGCGGUAAUACGGAGGAUCCGAGCGUUAUCCGGAUUUAUUGGGUUUAAAGGGAGCGUAAGUGGAUUGUUAAGUCAGUUGUAAAAGUUUGCGGCUCAACCGUAAAAUUGCAGUUGAAACUGGCAGUCGUGAGUACAGUAGAGGUGGGCAGAAUUCGUGGUGUAGCGGUGAAAUGCUUAGAUAUCACGAAGAACUCCGAUUGCGAAGGCAGUUCACUGGACUGCAACUGACACUGAGGCUCGAAAGUGUGGGUAUCAAACAGAAUUAGCUACCCGGGUAGUC
rnacentral:rRNA from 1 species